CUCCCAGGCCUCCAGGGCGCCUGGAGAAAAGGGCUCAAUCACUCCUGUCUCCCUUGCCUCUGGCUGCUCUCCAAGCUUACCCAGCCUGUGAUCAAGCAUCUCUGUCUCUGGCACACAGCCCUGCCUGAAGUCUCCAAACCCAGCAGAUCCCUGUGC